UCAAGUUAUUAAGGGUGCAGGGCGGAUGCCUUGGCACUAGGAGCCGAUGAAGGACGUGAUAAGCUGCGAUAAGCUUCGGGGAGUUGCACGUAAACUUUGAUCCGAAGAUUUCCGAAUGAGGAAACUCACUUAGAGUAAUGUCUAAGUAUCAUUAAGUGAAUACAUAGCUUAAUGAGGGGAACUCAGGGAACUGAAACAUCUAAGUACCUGAAGGAAGAGAAAGAAAUUCGAUUCCGUAAGUAGCGGCGAGCGAACGCGGAUUAGCCCAAACCAAUAAAGUUUUCUUUAUUGGGGUUGAGGACAUACCACAUAUAAGAGGUCAUUAUAGACGAAGAAGUUUGGAAAAACUCAUCAUAGAAGGUAAUAAUCCUGUAGUCAAAAUAAUAAUUCUUUAGGUAUGAUCCAGAGUACCACGGGACACGUGAAACCCUGUGGGAAGCAGGAGGGACCACCCUCCAAGGCUAAAUACUACCUAGUGACCGAUAGCGUAUAGUACCGUGAGGGAAAGGUGAAAAGAACCCCGGGAGGGGAGUGAAAUAGAACCUGAAACCCUGCACUUACAAGCUGUGGAAGCACAUUUCUUGUGUGACCGCGUACUUUUUGUAGAACGGGCCAACGAGUUACGUUAAGUAGCAAGGUUAAGCACUUAAGGUGCGGAGCCGUAGCGAAAGCGAGUUUUAACUGAGCGUUCAGUUACUUGACGUAGACCCGAAACCGGGCGACCUACCCAUGAGCAGGAUGAAGCGAAAGUAAAAUUUCGUGGAGGUCCGAACCCACGAGCGUUGAAAAGCUCGGGGAUGACUUGUGGGUAGCGGUGAAAUUCCAAUCGAGCCCGGAGAUAGCUGGUUCUCCCCGAAAUAGCUUUAGGGCUAGCCUCAAGGUGAGAGAUACGGAGGUAGAGCACUGAAUGUCCUAGGGGGUAUUGCACCUACCGAAGACUAUCAAACUCCGAAUGCCGUCAUCUUAUACUUGGGAGUCAGACUGUGGGUGAUAAGAUUCAUAGUCGAAAGGGCAACAGCCCAGAUCGUCAGCUAAGGUCCCUAAAUGUAAGUUAAGUGGUAAAGGAUGUGGGAUUGCACAGACAACCAGGAUGUUGGCUUAGAAGCAGCCACUCAUUCAAAGAGUGCGUAAUAGCUCACUGGUCGAGUGAUCCUGCGCCGAAGAUUUCCGGGGCUAAAACUUACUACCGAAGCUACGGCAUCAGUAAUGAUGGGUAGGGGAGCUUCCCAUACGGGUUGAAGCAUGACCGUAAGGACAUGUGGACAGUAUGGGAGUGAGAAUGUUGGCAUGAGUAGCGAGAUGUGGGUGAGAAUCCCACAGGCCGUAAACCCAAGGUUUCCAGGGGAAGGUUCGUCCGCCCUGGGUUAGUCGGGACCUAAGCUGAGGCCGAAAGGCGUAGGUGAUGGACAACAGGUUGAUAUUCCUGUACUACCGAUAACCGUUUGAGAGAAGGGAUGACACAGUAGGAUAAGCUAAGCACACUGUUGGUUAUGUGUGCCCAAGCAUUGAGGCAGUCAAAGCAGGCAAAUCCGCUUUGAUAAUGCUGGGAUGUGAUGGGGAGCGAAAUUUAGUAGCGAAGUAGCUGAUUUCACACUGUCAAGAAAAGUCUCUAUCGAGGUUAAAGGUACCCGUACCGCAAACCGACACAGGUGGGUGAGGAGAGUAUCCUAAGGCCAGCGAGAGAACUGUUGUUAAGGAACUCGGCAAAAUGACCCCGUAACUUAGGGAUAAGGGGUGCCACCAUCCGGUGGCCGCAGAGAAUAGGCCCAAGCGACUGUUUACCAAAAACAUAGGUUUCUGCUAAGUCGCAAGACGAUGUAUAGGAGCUGACGCCUGCCCGGUGCUGGAAGGUUAAGGGGAUCUGUUAGAGCAAUCGAAGCAGUGAACUUAAGCCCCAGUAAACGGCGGCCGUAACUAUAACGGUCCUAAGGUAGCGAAAUUCCUUGUCGGGUAAGUUCCGACCCGCACGAAAGGCGUAACGAUUUGGGCACUGUCUCAACAACAGACUCGGUGAAAUUGUAAUUCCGGUGAAGAUGCCGGAUACCUGCGACAGGACGGAAAGACCCCAUGGAGCUUUACUGUAGCUUGACAUUGGGUCUUGGUACUACAUGUACAGGAUAGGUGGGAGGCUUUGAAACCAGGACGCCAGUUUUGGCGGAGCCAUCCUUGGGAUACCACCCUUGUAGUACUGGGACUCUAACCAUAGGCCAUGAAUCUGGUCUUGGGACACUGUCAGGUGGGCNAGCUUCCCAUACGGGUUGAAGCAUGACCGUAAGGACAUGUGGACAGUAUGGGAGUGAGAAUGUUGGCAUGAGUAGCGAGAUGUGGGUGAGAAUCCCACAGGCCGUAAACCCAAGGUUUCCAGGGGAAGGUUCGUCCGCCCUGGGUUAGUCGGGACCUAAGCUGAGGCCGAAAGGCGUAGGUGAUGGACAACAGGUUGAUAUUCCUGUACUACCGAUAACCGUUUGAGAGAAGGGAUGACACAGUAGGAUAAGCUAAGCACACUGUUGGUUAUGUGUGCCCAAGCAUUGAGGCAGUCAAAGUAGGCAAAUCCGCUUUGAUAAUGCUGGGAUGUGAUGGGGAGCGAAAUUUAGUAGCGAAGUAGCUGAUUUCACACUGUCAAGAAAAGUCUCUAUCGAGGUUAAAGGUACCCGUACCGCAAACCGACACAGGUGGGUGAGGAGAGUAUCCUAAGGCCAGCGAGAGAACUGUUGUUAAGGAACUCGGCAAAAUGACCCCGUAACUUAGGGAUAAGGGGUGCCACCAUCAGGUGGCCGCAGAGAAUAGGCCCAAGCGACUGUUUACCAAAAACAUAGGUUUCUGCUAAGUCGCAAGACGAUGUAUAGGAGCUGACGCCUGCCCGGUGCUGGAAGGUUAAGGGGAUCUGUUAGAGCAAUCGAAGCAGUGAACUUAAGCCCCAGUAAACGGCGGCCGUAACUAUAACGGUCCUAAGGUAGCGAAAUUCCUUGUCGGGUAAGUUCCGACCCGCACGAAAGGCGUAACGAUUUGGGCACUGUCUCAACAACAGACUCGGUGAAAUUGUAAUUCCGGUGAAGAUGCCGGAUACCUGCGACAGGACGGAAAGACCCCAUGGAGCUUUACUGUAGCUUGACAUUGGGUCUUGGUACUACAUGUACAGGAUAGGUGGGAGGCUUUGAAACCAGGACGCCAGUUUUGGCGGAGCCAUCCUUGGGAUACCACCCUUGUAGUACUGGGACUCUAACCAUAGGCCAUGAAUCUGGUCUUGGGACACUGUCAGGUGGGCAGUUUGACUGGGGCGGUCGCCUCCCAAAAGGUAACGGAGGCGCUCAAAGGUUCUCUCAGUACGGUCGGAAAUCGUACGUAGAGUGUAAAGGCAAAAGAGAGCUUGAUUGCAAGACAUACAGGUCGAGCAAGGAUGAAAAUCGGACUUAGUGAUCCGGUGGUUCUGCGUGGAAGGGCCAUCGCUCAACGGAUAAAAGCUACCCUGGGGAUAACAGGCUUAUCUCCCCCAAGAGUCCACAUCGACGGGGAGGUUUGGCACCUCGAUGUCGGCUCAUCACAUCCUGGGGCUGUAGUAGGUCCCAAGGGUUGGGCUGUUCGCCCAUUAAAGUGGUACGCGAGCUGGGUUCAGAACGUCGUGAGACAGUUCGGUCCCUAUCCGUCGCAGGCGUAGGAAAUUUGAGAAGACCUGUCCUUAGUACGAGAGGACCGGGAUGGACGUACCUCUGGUGUACCAGUUGUCCUGCCAAGGGCAUGGCUGGGUAGCUAUGUACGGAAUGGAUAAGCGCUGAAAGCAUCUAAGCGCGAAGCCAACUUCAAGAUAAGAUUUCCCACCGCAAGGGUAAGACCCCAGAAAGACUAUCUGGUUGAUAGGUCGAAGGUGUAAGUGCAGCAAUGUAUUUAGCUUAUCGAUACUAAUAGGUCGAGGACUUGACCAA
rnacentral:rRNA from 1 species